UACAGAGGGUGCGAGCGUUAAUCGGAAUUACUGGGCGUAAAGCGCGCGUAGGCGGCUUUGCAAGUCGGGUGUGAAAUCCCCAGGCUUAACCUGGGAACUGCAGUGGAUACUGGCGAGCUAGAGUACGGUAGAGGAAGGUGGAAUUCCCGGUGUAGCGGUGAAAUGCGUAGAGAUCGGGAGGAACACCAGUGGCGAAGGCGGCCUUCUGGACCAGUACUGACGCUGAGGCACGAAAGCGUGGGGAGCAAACAGG
rnacentral:rRNA from 1 species